rnacentral:misc_RNA from 1 species
CUUUGAUAAAUUGCCAAUCUCUUGAGGCAGAGGGCUUGGCUUGAACGGAUUAUAAGCGAGUUCCAAGCGGGUUAAUUCGCUGAGAUUGGAUAAGAACCUUGGGAUUGAACCGUUAAGAAAGUUAGAGACCAGAGAGAGAACUUCCAGAGACUGAUAGCCGGAAUAUCACCGGUGAAAUUGUUGAUUGAGAGAUCUAGGACUCGUAAAUUGUCAAGAUCCGGCAAGAAAUCUGGCAACUGACCGACGAAUUCAUUGCUGG